rnacentral:rRNA from 1 species
AUUGAACGCUGGCGGCAUGCCUAACACAUGCAAGUCGAACGAGUGGCGGACGGGUGAGUAAUGUCUGGGAAACUGCCCGAUGGCGGGGGAUAACUACUGGAAACGGUAGCUAAUACCGCAUACCAUCGGAUGUGCCGAGAUGGGAUUAGCUAGUGGGUGGGGUAACGGCUCACCUAGGCGACGAUCCCUAGCUGGUCUGAGAGGAUGACCAGCCACACUGGGACUGAGACACGGCCCAGACUCCUACGGGAGGCAGCAGUGGGGAAUAUUGGACAAUGGGCGCAAGCCUGAUGCAGCCAUGCCGCGUGUAUGAAGAAGGCCUUCGGGUUGUAAAGUACUUUCGGCAGGGAAGCGGUAUCUGCAGAAGAAGCACCGGCUAACUCCGUGCCAGCAGCCGCGGUAAUAC